UACGGGGUGCAGCAGGCGCGCAAACUUUACAAUGCGAGCAAUCGUGAUAAGGAAACCCUGAGUGCCUGUCGAUGCAGGCUGUUCAUAUAUCUAAAUCAUAUGUGAAGAAAGGGCAGGGCAAGACCGGUGCCAGCCGCCGCGGUAAUACCGGCUGCUCGAGUGAUGGCCACUAUUACUGGGUUUAAAGCGUCCGUAGCUUGACUGUUAGGUCUCUUGGGAAAUCUUCACGCUCAACGUGAAGGCGUCUAAGAGAUACCGGCAGUCUUGGAACUGGGAGAGGUAAACCGUACUUCGGGGGUAGGAGUGAAAUCUUGUAAUCCUCGAGGGACGACCUAUGGCGAAGGCAGUUUACCAGAACAGCUUCGACAGUGAGGGACGAAAGCUGGGGGAGCAAACGGGAUUAGAUACCCCGGUAGUCCCAGCCGUAAACAAUGUGCGUUAGGUGUGUCGGUAACCACGUGUUACUGAUGCGCCGAAGAGAAAUCGUGAAACGCACCACCUGGGAAGUACGGUCGCAAGGCUGAAACUUAAAGGAAUUGGCGGGGGAGCACCACAACAGGUGGAGCCUGCGGUUUAAUUGGAUUCGACGCCGGACAUCUCACCGGAUAAGACAGCUGAAUGAUUGUCAAUCUGAAGGUUUUACAUGACUAGCUGAGAGGAGGUGCAUGG
rnacentral:rRNA from 1 species